GAUGAACGCUGGCGGCGUGCCUAAUACAUGCAAGUCGAGCGAACAGACGAGGAGCUUGCUCCUCUGACGUUAGCGGCGGACGGGUGAGUAACACGUGGAUAACCUACCUAUAAGACUGGGAUAACUUCGGGAAACCGGAGCUAAUACCGGAUAAUAUAUUGAACCGCAUGGUUCAAUAGUUAAAGACGGUUUUGCUGUCACUUAUAGAUGGAUCCGCGCCGCAUUAGCUAGUUGGUAAGGUAAAGGCUUACCAAGGCGACGAUGCGUAGCCGACCUGAGAGGGUGAUCGGCCACACUGGAACUGAGACACGGUCCAGACUCCUACGGGAGGCAGCAGUAGGGAAUCUUCCGCAAUGGGCGAAAGCCUGACGGAGCAACGCCGCGUGAGUGAUGAAGGUCUUCGGAUCGUAAAACUCUGUUGUUAGGGAAGAACAAAUGUGUAAGUACCUAAGAACGACUAGACGGUACCUAAUCAGAAAGCCACGGCUAACUACGUG
rnacentral:rRNA from 1 species